CAAAAAUGUUCUCCUAAUAUCACAUGCAUAAUAAGUAAUAAGAUAGUAGGGACGUCAUAAAGAUGCAUAAUGAAUACAAAAUGUUAAUAAAAUUUCAUAAAAAUGAUAAUAUCCAGACUAUAUAAAUGAAGGUAUUUCUUAUUUUCAUCAUUAUUUCUUUUUCAUCUGAAAAAUCAACAUGAAGAUUACCUAUUUUAUUGUAUUUGUGCUCGCCCUUUUCGCAACAGGAAUAUUCCAAGCAGAAGCAGGAAAUGUCCUCUCUAAACCAGUCACCGAAAAACCAGGCAAAGGAGGCAAAAAACACGGAGGCAAACAUUAAUAAAUAGCCUUAUUUUAAUAUGAGUUAUUAGUUUAUAUUAAUUCAUUUUAAAGUUUUAACUUACAAACACAAUAAAAAUGUUAUUAAAUUGAAAAA
rnacentral:lncRNA from 1 species